rnacentral:rRNA from 1 species
GACGAACGCUGGCGGCGUGCUUAACACAUGCAAGUCGAACGGUGAAGCGCCUUCCUUUUUGGUGGGUGUGGAUGAGUGGCGAACGGGUGAGUAACACGUGAGUAACCUGCACCCUUCUUCUGGAUAACCUCAUGAAAGUGUGGCUAAUACGGGAUAUUCUGGGUCUGUCUCAUGAUGGGUCUGGGAAAGAUAUUGUUUCGGUGGGGGAUGGGCUCGCGGCCUAUCAGCUUGUUGGUGGGGUGAUGGCCUACCAAGGCGGCGACGGGUAGCCGGCCUGGGCGGGUGAGAGGCCACAAUGGGACGGAGAAACGGCCCAGACUCCAACGGGAGGCAGCAGUGGGGAAUAGUGCACAAUGGGCGCAAGCCGGAUGCAGCGGCGCCGCGUGAGGGAUGGAGGCCUGCGGGUGGUGAGCCUCUUUCGCCAGUGAAGCAGGCCUGCCUCGUAUGUGGGUGGGUUGACGGUAGCUGGAUAAGAAGCGCGGGCUAACUACGUG